rnacentral:tmRNA from 1 species
AUGGCAACUACGAUUAUGCCAUGGCUGCCUAAUUAACUAAUUAGGUGACCCGUUCCACCUGCCUGCCGCCUUUCCGGGCGGGCUGGAGCGCCGGUCAGGAAGGCUCGGUCAACCAAACGCCUUUACGGGAGACUUAAAAAUAAAGGCUGGCGCCGGUUGUGGCCUGCCGCUCGGCAGCAAUCGGGGCGAGAAUAAAUGAGUCGGCUACGCACGUAGAAGAUAAUCUGGCAUCCUUUUCGGACGGGGGUUCGACUCCCCCCACCUCCAAUU